rnacentral:sRNA from 1 species
GAUGCUGCCAGGGUCCCUGAAGAGGGAAGACACGCGGAAACAGACACCCCGAAGUUGAAGAUCGAGGUCAAUCCCAGUGAUGCCAUAGUGAGGGAGGGGGACUCUGUGACCAUGACCUGCGAGGUCAGCAGCAGCAACCCGAAGUACACGACGGUAUCCUGGCUCAAGGAUGGGACCCCGCUGAAGAAGCAGAAUGCACUCAUGCUAACCCUGCAAGAAGUGACCAAGGACCAGAGUGGGAAGUACUGCUGUCAGGUCUCCAAUGACGUGGGCCCGGGAAGGUCGGAAGAAGUGCUCCUGCAAGUGCAGCAUGUCCCGGAACCUUCCACGGUUCAGAUCCUCCAGUCACCGGCUGUGGAGGGAAGUGAAGUCAAGUUUCUUUGCACAUCACUGGCCAAUCCUCUUCCAACAAAUUACACGUGGUACCACAAUGGGAAAGAAAUGCAGGGAAGGACAGAGGAGAAAUUCCACAUCCCAAAGAUCCUCCCUUGGCACGCUGGGACGUAUUCCUGUGUGGCAGAAAACAUUCUUGGUACUGGACAGAGGGGCCCGGGAG